CAUGUGCUCUCUUUCCUGCCCCUCUCAGCUCUGGAAAUAUUUCUGGGAACGCAGAAUGCCAGCCUAAUCCAUCUGGAAACCUUAGAUUAGGAAGAAAAAAAAAAACAAAACAGGAUCAUGUCUUAUUUCAACUUUCAAAUGUUUUGAGGAAAGUGCCAAGAGAAGGGGCAGAAAGAAGAGAAACAAAGAAGAGAAGUGAGAGGAGGAGAUGAAGAAGAAAGAGGAGACACAAUUAGUUGAACUAUGUUUAGCAGUAGAUUCACUCUAGAAGAUUCAUUCUGAUGGCUGAAACUUCCAGAACAUGGAUAACGUUUCAAGACACUGACAUGAUGGGGAAUAUUAAUUUGAAUGUGCUAUUUUCCUAUGAUAGCAUUUUAAGACGCGCCACUUUUACUCAAGAGAAGAAAAUUAAAUUUUAAGUAAUUCAUAUUAAGCAAGCAAAUCAAGGAUUUUCAGCUGGUUUAGUGAUUCUCUCUCACCCUUUCUCCUCUGAGUUGGUGUAAGUUCUCCAGCACCAAAGCACUGAGAAGGAAAGUGCUGGGUUCUCAGUGCUCAGCAUCUG
rnacentral:lncRNA from 1 species